UAUCUGCCAAUACUCUGAAGUCCCUGUGUC
rnacentral:piRNA from 1 species